GAAGCCUUAAGUUGCAUUUUAUUUACUGAGGUUUUAAAAAAAAUUGUGGCAAAAGAUAAAUAAAAUUUACCAUUUUAAUCAUUUGAAGUGUAUAAUUCAGUGGCAUUAAGUAAAUCUGUAAAGCUCUACGACCAUCACCACCAUCCAUUUCCAGACAUUUUUGUCAUCCCAAAGAGAAAUUCUGUACACAUUAAACAGUAACUCCCCACCACUCCCAACCUGAGGAGCAGUGUGGGACAGGACACCAUGCAAGGUGAAGACCCUCCCCAGCAUCCUGCGUUUUGCAAGGACCUAGUGCCUGCUCAGCUGUCACCCGUCAGGCAGAACACCGAAACUCAGCCACAAGCUGCUGCUGCCAUCCCCAGCAUAUAACGAAGGAAAAAUUAAGCAAGUGUGUGCUUCUUUAGCCUCCUCUCUUAAUACUGCAUCUUCAGAAUUAAAACUGUGGUGGGCCAGGCGCGGUGGCUCAUGCCCGUAAUCCCAGCACUUUGGGAGGCCGAGGCGGGUGGAUCACAAUGUCAGGAGAUCGGGACCAUCCUGGCUAACGCGGUGAAACCCCGUCUGAUUUUGUUGAAGGCAGGGGUUUCUGCCUUCUGUUUAAUGCUAGCUGCCCAGUGCCUAGAAAAGUGCCUGGCAUCCAGUAGGUGUUCAAUAGAUAUUUAUAGAGUUAAAUGCACUAAACUUAGGAGGCGGAAGUUGUUUUUUUUGGAGGCCUUUGCCCAUUUCACUCCCUCCUUCCCGUUCCACCUUCUAGGUUUCUCAUUCCCUCUGCUUCUUCUCUUUUGCUGGCUCUGGCCUGCAGCCCUCUUGCCCCUGGUGUAAAGGGCUCAAAACGCCAGACAGCUCUGCCGCCAUGGGGAGGAGACCCUGACUGAGAAGCCAGGGCCCCGGCCUCCAGGGUCACCAGUACCUUGGGCAGGCCGGGGUGUCGCUGGGGCUUGGGUGACUCCACCAGGCAUGGAGGGGGUGGGUACUCCCAGCUGGCUCGCCAACCUUCGCUUCUUGCCUCGCAAAGGCAACCUGGCGGAGGGUCUGUGGGUCAAGCAGAGUCCAGCUCUAGUUUCUCCCCUUCCAGGCUGUGCGCCCUCAGCCAGGCCUCUCCUCGCCUACAGGGCUCGCGGACACUUCUGACCCUCACUGAGGUCGUAAAGAUUACAAGUCAGUGGUCCACAACGACUGGCGUCGGGCCCGCCGCAUACCCACUAUGUACGACUGGCCGCUAAGUCAGCCGAGGCCCUGGGGCUCCGCUCCACAACCCAGCCCACGGUCAGCUUUCCUGGGCUGCUCCGUCCCGCGAGGCCAUCGCCCCAUUCAUAUUC
rnacentral:lncRNA from 10 species